CCUACGGGAGGCAGCAGUGGGGAAUAUUGCACAAUGGGGGAAACCCUGAUGCAGCAACGCCGCGUGAGUGAAGAAGUCUUUCGGUAUGUAAAGCUCUAUCAGCAGGGAGGAAGACAGACGGUACCUGACUAAGAAGCCUCGGCUAACUACGUGCCAGCAGCAGCGGUAAUACGGAGGGGGCAAGCGUGAACCGGAUUUACUGGGUGUAAGGGGAGCGUAGACGGCUGGGCAAGUCUGAAGUGAAAGCCCGGGGCUCAACCGGGGAACUGCAUUGGAAACUGGAUGGCUUGAGUACUGGAGAGGCAGGCGGAAUUCCUCGUGUAGCGGUGAAAUGCGUAGAUAUGAGGAGGAACACCAGUGGCGAAGGCAGCCUGCUGGACAGAAACUGACGUUGAGGCUCGAAAGCGUGGGGAGCAAACAGGAUUAGAUACCCGAGUAGUC
rnacentral:rRNA from 1 species